CAUGAAGUCGAAUGGGCCUAUUUUAAACCCGGACAUACAGGCACAUGAAUUCAAAUGGAAGUGGAAUGGUUUUAACAGAGAACUCAGAGACUGGGGUUAGUGGUUAAAACAGUGGAAUUUUCAACUUAAGACUACUGGUUUCUUUUACUGUAGGCUGUCCGAUAGAUGGUCAUGGCGGAGGUUGAAGGCAGUCGUCUGCGUUGUGGCCUGUAUUUUCGCCAAGAUAUCUAGCAAUACGCUCUGGCUAAUGCAAUUAAAUGUUGCAGUCUUUCUACCACUGUUGAAAAAUAAUGUGCCGUGGUUGUAUACGCUAUGAGGAAAUUUCAGUGCAUGAACAACAGCCAGGAUGUGUGUGUUUUAGGCUUACAUUUCAUUAUGUAGAAAGCAAGUGCUAGUUACUUGCUGUGGAGCAUUUUGUUAUGACGGUGAUUUCUCCAGCAGGUGGCAGUGUUGUGAUUGUUUGAGGAGGUAGACUUUGAUAGACUCAACAUUUCACACAGUAGUACACAAACACAACCAGACCAUGGCCUCUUUGUCUCUAGUUGCGUAUGAAGACUCGGGUUCAGAUGAGGAAUCUGCCACAAACAAUGAGGGUGUCAGUUCCACUUUAAAAUGUGACAGCGCAGUCGAGCAAUUUCUUGGAAGACCUGGCAGCCCUGCAACUGGGGUUCCUAGGGAUAGACAAAGUACCAAUACAACUACCGUGGGACCCCUCUGCCAGUUUAAAUCUUCUCCAUGGGAACAACCACAUUCAGUGGAUUGCUGCAAGAAGGCGUUACAAAUACCUCCUCAUCCCUCACCAAAGAACUCUGCUUGUCCAAAUCCAGUUAAGAGGCUGGCACCUUCCCCGGUGGGAGUAAGACCUUACAUGCCAAAGAGACAGAGACUGGCCCCAACAGAUGACGGGGUGAUGAUGCCAGGGCCAAGUGUCAGCAGUGGCCCUGUUGAGGUCACUGCCGCCGUCACCACCACCAGUCAGGCCUCUUGUGCCCAGAUGCUCUCUGAGGUGUCUGACCGAGUGCGUCCUUUCUUGGGACAGAAAGUGGGCAGGAUGGAGCUGCCUAGACGUGUCCUCUUGCAGCUCCAGGCUCACCAGGGGCCGGUCAACACGGUGCAGUGGUGCCCAGUGCCUCACACAAGCCAUCUGCUCCUGUCUGCUUCAAUGGACAGGACAGUCAAGAUCUGGGAUGGCGCUGAAAGUGGGCGGUGCCUGCGGACGAUCUCUGCCCACAGCGGUGCUGUGAGGGAUGCCUGCUGGGCCCAGUGCGGGCGCCGACUCCUCUCCGGCUCUUUUGAUACCACGGCAACACUGACAGACGUGGAGACAGGAUCAGAGGUCGUUAAAGUGAGGAACCAGUUUAAGGUGAGCUGUCUUGCCCUUCAGCCUGCUGACCCUGACGUGUUUCUUUGUGGAGGUUUCAGUCCUGAGGUCAAGGCCUGGGACGCACGCUCCUCUAAGAUGGUGAGAACAUACAAGGCUGGAAUACAGCAGACCCUGGAUAUUCUUUUCCUGUCUGGGGGGAAGGAGUUUGUUACCAGCAGCGACUCAGUCAGUCGAGACUCAGCUGACCGCACCCUCAUUGCCUGGGACUUUGAAACUACUGCCAAAGUCUCCAACCAAAUCUUUCAUGAGAGGUACACCUGCCCCAGUCUUGCAUUGCACCCAGAGAGCGAGUGUUUCGUAGCACAGACCAAUGGGAACUACAUCGCCGUCUUUUCAUCACAGAGGCCAUACCGCAUCAACAAGAGGCGGCGCUACGAAGGACAUAAGGUAGAGGGCUAUGCCAUCCAGUGUGAGUUCUCUCGGUGCGGAUCACUGCUGGCCUCUGGAAGCUCCUCUGGUUCUGUCCACUUCUACGACCACCAGAGCUCUCGGACACUUCACACCCUCCGAGCUCACCAGCAGGCAUGCAUGUGUGUGUCUCUCCACCCCAUCCUGCCCUCGGUGGCGGCCACGUGUGACUGGAGUGGCGAGAUCAAGAUAUGGCACUGACCAGCCAAGGCAGCUCCACAAAUCACAGUCUCCGUCCAUCGAUAUGAACUGGAGCAGCAGCACUGUGAGUUUGGUGUACGCACUGUGAACUUGCACUGGAAAGUGUACUGGAAAGUGCUCAAUGAGCAAACAGAGCCUCACAACUUGUUGGUGAAGUUUAUCAUGUGAAAAUGGAGCGUACCUGCCAGAUGAGAUGUAAUGUUCAAAGCCAGAAUGCCUACUAGAGAAACAAAGUUUACUGCUCUGUCUUGAGCUUGGGCUGUCUCACGGGAUGACUGGGGGAAGAAGAAGACUACAUCAAAACAACAAAGCUGUCAAAGACCAGGCUGAAUCAAUCAGUGCAAAAAAUGAAAAAGUGCUUGUUCUUCCUCAUCAAGCUUCUAGGGGCAUCAUGGUCGUCAGUAAUCACCACAUCUUGCCAUUCUCCUCACUAGUGCUGAUAUGGAUCUCAUUAAAUGGGCGCCCCCGUAAAGUCAACCCUGUCUAAUAAGCCUCUUCAGCCUCUAAGAAUCCAGCUAAACUUGACACCCCUCUCACUGGCUCAAAGGACAACAUUUGACGGGUAAUUGUGCUCUGUUUCACAGUGAUCUCUUGUGAAACAUCUGAUUUGGGCCUGUUUUAUCUUCACCACAGAAUUAGAUCCUUGACAUUUUUGCAGACUUCAUGCAGAGACCUUGUCUCUGGAUAUAAUAUUUUGACAUUAGCUAUGUGUUUCCCCAUGGAUUGCGUGAAUGGAUGUUGGCAUUGCUAGCCUCCUGCAGUACCAAUUGAGAAAAUGAACUCAGCUCACCAGCAGCGGCAGAUUGGGAAACUGUACCUUGUCUAUAGAGUAACUGAGUGACCGUGUGCUUGAUUUUUUGACAUCAGAAAAUCUAUUUUUUUAAAUCACAGACAUUUUCAACUCUACUCUCAUAAUUCACCCACAGCACAUCACUUGAAUCACUCCUUGCAUCUCAAUUUCAAACAACUCAACUUCUAAACUCAAGGGUGUCCCUUUCAAGAAAGUUAUGCAUGGAGAAGUGGGCCCCUGAAAACCCUUUCUCGGCACGAAAAGCUUUUCUUAGCCCUGGAAGGUCACAGGCUGACCCCAAUAAUCUCUGAAGGCCCCGAUGGGGAUUUUAGGCAUUAGAUGUGGCGUAGAAGUCUCUCUCAGCUGGGAAUGCCGCUGCAAUAGAAAGGCUUGCAUUCCCUCCUCCUCGCAGAGAGAGAAACCAAGUGAGGGAGAUAGAAGGAUAGAAAGCAAUGAAGGAAGACAGAAGGAAAGAAACAAACAAGACAGAAAUCAGACUGAAAGUAAGGAAGGACAAAUGGAAAGUGGAAGGGAGAGUAUAAGGUAUGGAAAGCCAGAGGGACAGACCGAACGAUGCAGAGGGAGGCUGAGAAAGGGUUGUCUGAAUUGCAGACUUUCCCAUGGGCUCAUUUUAAUUUAGCCAAGUGUCAACCAGUGGUGUGCGGAUGAAUUCACAAGUGGCCCACACUUGCCCAAUGUUGUAAGUCAACCCGCAACUCAAAAUGAUACCCGACCCACUUAAUUCCAAAAGGUGUGCUUUUGGUGAAUGUAGCUUUAAUUUUAAAUUUAGUUUUCAAAAGAAUUGAUCUUGAAAAGAAUUAGCCUUUUAAGUUUAUCUAAGAUGUGGGCUAUAUGAAAUGUUGGGCUGCUAUUGUCUGAUGUUGUCCUCUGUUGAUUUAUGAAUGAACAAAAAUGUGGCACCUGCAGGCGCAGUCUGCUCCCUGAUGCUGUCUUCCAGCUCCAUCCAGCUUUCCAGUAAGCACUGGCGCAUGCCAGUUACAAAAAUUUUUACUAUACAAGCCACUUAACACGCAGUGUAUCCUUAUUGAGCUAUGUAAAACUUCCACAUAAACAGGAACAGAAAGCCCCCCUUAAUCACGUCAGCCUCCCUGUAAGGUUAAGUGUCAGCCUUAUUUUACUGAGCGACUUGUCAUUAAGUGUGCUUGCAAAGCAGCACACUUAUUGUUCUUCUUAAGUUUUCUUAUUAAGUGUGCUUGCAAAGCAGCACACUUAUUGUUCUUCUUAAGUUUUCUUAUUCCUGUAAGCCCGAUUUUUGGCCAGCUCCUGCUCCAAGACCUUUUGAGAUAUCGCCACCGGUCCAACUCUGGAACGUCCGGCCGGAACCGGUGUAGUGUGGAAAUUGAAAAUGAUGUCACUGACCCUUGUCAUUCUUCCGCCAUAUUGGAUUGAAUAGAAAGCGAAACUAAAGUUUCACAGGUCACAAAUUUGGUCCGAGCUUCACAAAACUUGACGUACAUGACCCUUGGACCAAGCCUCACAAAAGUUACA